CCUAACACAUGCAAGUCGAGCGAGAAAGCCCGCACGGGUGAGUAAAGCGAGCUGAACGGGUGCGUAACUCGUGCGGUAAUCUGCCCUACAGUCCGGAAUAACUUCCCGAAAGGGACGCUGAUGCCGGAUGAGACCACGGGAGCCUCGGCUCCUGCGAGGAAAAGGUGGCCUCUGUACACAAGCUAUCGAUCUUGGAUGAGCCCGCGGCCCAUCAGCUCGUUGGCGGGGUAAUGACCCACCAAGGCUACGACGGGUAGUUGGUCUGAGAGGACGAUCACCCACACCGGAAGUGAGACACGGUCCAGACUCCUACGGGAGGCAGCAGUGGGGAAUCUUGCGCAAUGGGCGAAAGCCUGACGCAGCAACCCUGCGUGUGUGAUGAAGGUGUUCUGAUCGUAAAGCACUGUCGCGAGGGAGGAAUAAGGGGCGGGUUAACAUCCCGUUCCGAUGACGGUACCUCGAGAGGAAGCACCGGCUAACUCUGUGCCAGCACCCGCGGUAAUACAGAGGGUGCGAGAGUUGUUCGGAAUUAUUGGGCGUAAAGAGCGUGUAGGCGGCUCUGCAAGUCAGGUGUGAAAGCCCUCGGCUUAACCGAGGAAGUGCGCCUGAAAGUACGGAGCUUGAGUGUCGGUGAGGGUGGCGGAAUUCCCGGUGUAGAGGUGAAAUUUGUAGAUAUAGGGAGGAACACCAGUGGGGAAGGCGCCCACCCGGACGGUAACUGACGCUGUGACGUGAAAGAGUGGGGAGCAAACACGAUUAGAUACCCCGGUAGUCCACGCUGUAAAAGAUGAGUGUUAGGUGUUUUGGGUGUUAACCCCCUCAGUGCCGCAGCUAACGCAUUAA
rnacentral:rRNA from 1 species